rnacentral:pre_miRNA from 1 species
UUAGUAUUCCCUCCGUUCCAAAAUAAGUGACUCAAAAAUGACUCAAUUUUACAGUACUUUAAUGCAAAUUGAGUCACUUUUGAGUCAUUUAUUUUGGGACGGAGGGAGUACUUA